rnacentral:misc_RNA from 1 species
UUCACGUGGUUUUCUUCAGCUUUUCCAACAAAACCUACUGGGUUUUGGCUCUCCGCUUCUGCAGGCUUUGCUUUCGUCUUGACAGUCUUCCCUUCUGUUCCAAUGGAUGUGCUUUGCUGCGACGGAAGCUUAGUCUGGGACUUCCUGAUUAGUGUUUUUGAGGCUACAGUUUCUUUGUUGCCAUGUCUCUGAGCUCCCUUGGUUGAAUUGCUUGAUUCUGGUUUCAAAGUACGUGGACUGGUCAUGUAUCGUGGGCUAAGGGAAGAUCCACCACCUUCUAUUGGGCCAUUGACUGAAGACGUUGAGUUCUUGCGCCUUCCAAGCUUUGGUGAUAUUGGACGGGUGGUUGGUAUCUUUUUCAGUUCAACUUUUGGCGGAGGCUCUUUGUAGAAACAUGGCAUGGGUGUAGCCUUAAAAGCCAAGCUCUUUCUUAGUUGUCUGAUCUCUGCUUCCUGGUUCUCCUUUGACUUUGCCUGCAAGUUACUUUUUUCUAUUUCCUUAGCAUUGAUCUUCUCUUCCAGCAUUGAAAAAAACUCCUUCCGCUUUUCUGCACGUUCCUCCAACCUGAAGGAAAAGCCAGAACUACUAGCUCUCUGUGUACGGGGAGUGGUGCUUGAAGUAGUUGAGUGGAUGUCAUCAUCUUCUUUGCUCAGCAAUGUGGUCGUUACAUUUUGUGAAUUUUGAUCAGUUAACUCAGAUGACUCAGAGGGAGGGCAAUCGAUGGAUUCAUUCAAAGAACUUGAUUUCACAUCUGGAGCCUGUUGUUUGCUGGGCACACUUGCUAAAGAAGUCCUCCUGGGAAUCGCUUUACCACCCUUGACAUUUGAUUCCUUUGAGUUCAUUCCAGUGGACGCUCGCCUAUUGGGUUGAGUUAAACGGGAACUUGAAGUGAUUGAUCCAUUUGAAGCAACCUGACCUUUUCUACUGCCAUAUUGGGCCUGUUUGACCACAGUUUUUGAUGGGUGUCCAUCAAUGCUUUUCCUCAUAUUAUCAGGAUGGACUCCUCGUGCUGGAAAUGAAAGACUUUG